rnacentral:lncRNA from 1 species
UGAAGGAACAGGGUAUGUAGACUUAGUGUAGGCCAUGAAGAUGAGAAUGAGCCUCAGAGUUAUUCUGAAUAACGAGUCCUUGGAGAAAUCCUCACUGGGACUCAAGCAAGAGUCAGCAUCAGAGAGAAAACUCGCUACCACUGUGUCUGGCCAUCUACACAUGUGGUUACCUUCCAAUGUCCCAGUAUAAAAGGUUUUCACACUGUAAGUUGUAAAACUAAAAUGACAAAACUGGAAUUUAAGACUUGGGCCACAACUGCAAAUGCUUUUGUUACAGCAUCCUGGUGACCAGACUCAUAAUGACCACUCUUUACGGAAGGACACUGACAAUGCUGUCCCUGAGGAAAUCACCUUCUAACUGCUGCUGCUCUCUCUUCAGCCAACACCCAAAGCCACCCGCCAGGGUCACGGGGAUGAGACUUCACAAGGCAAUACUAGUCCAUGGGACUUUGUGGGAUUAUUCCUUUGAAGGGCGAAUCCUAAGGAAGACUUCUGGAUACUUCUAGAAUCUUCUUCAGAGAUCAGUGUGGAAAGCUUGAAAACUGUGAAGCUCUCAUCAUCAAGCCAGAUGGCUAGAUUUUUGAGGAAAAAUCACUGCAAAGUUGACAGAAGAAAAGAAGAUGUGUGACCAGAGCCGAGAGACUGCUGGGUGAUCUGGUGAAGGAAUGACAUUAACAUAGAAAAGAGAUGCUGAUGGGGGAAAACAGAAUAGAUGGAUUCCUGGAGAAGAAAAGCAAUGAGAGUUCUCCCAGCCUUGCAACCAGCAGGAAAUGUGGAAGCUAGGAUGAGCACACAG